rnacentral:ncRNA from 1 species
GNGUUAUAUGGAGAGAGGGAAGGUUAGCAUUCCCCUUGACAAGGCCUAACACACACACACAGGUAAAGCAUGGCCACCUACUUAGUGGCAUCUACUACUCUUU